rnacentral:lncRNA from 10 species
CAGAGGUGGAGCCUACAGAGGCAGGCAGGCCUCCUUGAGCUGUGGUGGGCUCCACCCAGUUCGAGCUUCCCGGCUGCUUUGUUUACCUAAUCAAGCCUGGGCAAUGGCGGGCGCCCCUCCCCCAGCCUCGCUGCCGCCUUGCAGUUUGAUCUCAGACUGCUGUGCUAGCAAUCAGCGAGACUCCGUGGGCGUAGGACCCUCCGAGCCAGGUGCCGGAUAUAAUCUCGUGGUGCGCCGGUUUUUAAGCCGGUCUGAAAAGCGCAAUAUUCGGGUGGGAGUGACCGGAUUUUCCAGAGUUUAGGAUGCUUCAAGGGAAAGAUGAACCGGGGAACCGCCACCGUGACUAUUUCUCAUCUACAUAUCCACCCCCCGAAGUUCUUAAGGUGGAGCGGAAUUCAUUUUAUUUGCAAAUGUGGAAGGCAUUAUAAAAACCGUGAAUGAUGCCCCCUCCCAUGAGGGAUACAGGGAGAGCCACGUGAAGAGGAUGUUGGGCUUCUUCAAGCUGGCAGGGCACUGAGCUGACUGUCCACCACACUCACCAGGGGCCUUUGUGCAUCCCGUGGGGCAGCUCUGGGAAAGGGUAAGCUUUGGAAAUGAUGGGCAUGCGGGGGAUUCCCAGACAUGUGGUAUGUGUUGGAGGAGGGGCCGUUCCGAAGGGAGAGUGACUAAAUUUUACACUCAUGUGGGCAUUAAUAUUGUAAUUCAGGACACUGUUGUGGGCCCAUUCUCUCCAUGCCAAACUACAAAUAAGGGUGCUCCAAUGAUACAGAGUACAGACACCUGGCCCAAUCCCCUGGAGGUUAUGGUUGGGCCUGGCAGGGGUGGGAAUUUCAGCACUUGCAGAGCUCCAUGGAUCAUUCUAACGCAGCAUCACGACUAGAAACGACCCUGAUGGAGGGCAGUGGAAAUUCACAGCAGGAGAGCCAGCUCAGAGAUGGCACUGGAGAGGCCUCCAGCACUGUGUGGCUUUAGCACUGGCACGUGAUAGAGGUGGAGCCCGUGAGCAUGUGGAAAUGGGAGAAAGGGAAGGAUUAGUGAUUCCAUUAAGGACUCACUUUCUAGGUUCAGGAGUAGAGCUAGGAGUUGCUCUUUUCCCUGUACACCAGUGGGUCCCUUGAGAGAAUGCAGAUUCACAAGGUGGAGGUGUGGAUAUAAGAAAAGCUUGAUGCUGCCUUCUGUCUCCCCAGGUCUGAUGGGGAAGAAAAAGGAUUUUGGGGUGUUCCCACAGCCCCUGUCCCCUAGCAAACCAGCUCUUUCUCAUCCAGUCAGAGGAGAGGUGAUACCUUCCCUAUUGGAUCUUGGUGGGUGCCAGAGGAGUGGUGUGCCUCAGGCUGUAGCCUCAGGCUGUCCCAGAGGGAGAACCACUGGGCCCCCUGAUUUACAGAGUAAGUGGGUGCAGUCCUAACUCUUAUUGACACGGGCCAGGUAUGGUGAAGCUUGGUUGCCAGGAUAUAA